ensembl:snRNA U1 U1 spliceosomal RNA
ACACUUACAUGGCAGGGAAGAGUCCAUGACCAAGAACGUGGUUUUCCCAGGGCAAGGCUUACUCACUGCUCUCUGGAUAUGCUGACCCUUGUGAUUCCCCAAACGUGGGAAACAUGACUGCAUAAUUUGUGGUAGGGGGAGACUGUGUUCAUACUCUCCCU